ACGGGUGAGUAAUGUCUGGGGAUCUGCCCGAUAGAGGGGGAUAACCACUGGAAACGGUGGCUAAUACCGCAUAACGUCGCAAGACCAAAGAGGGGGACCUUCGGGCCUCUCACUAUCGGAUGAACCCAGAUGGGAUUAGCUAGUAGGCGGGGUAAUGGCCCACCUAGGCGACGAUCCCUAGCUGGUCUGAGAGGAUGACCAGCCACACUGGAACUGAGACACGGUCCGGACUCCUACGGGAGGCAGCAGUGGGGAAUAUUGCACAAUGGGCGCAAGCCUGAUGCAGCCAUGCCGCGUGUAUGAAGAAGGCCUUCGGGUUGUAAAGUACUUUCAGCGGGGAGGAAGGCGAUGCGGUUAAUAACCGCGUCGAUUGACGUUACCCGCAGAAGAAGCACCGGCUAACUCCGUGCCAGCAGCCGCGGUAAUACGGAGGGUGCAAGCGUUAAUCGGAAUUACUGGGCGUAAAGCGCACGCAGGCGGUCUGUUAAGUCAGAUGUGAAAUCCCCGGGCUUAACCUGGGAACUGCAUUUGAAACUGGCAGGCUUGAGUCUUGUAGAGGGGGGUAGAAUUCCAGGUGUA
rnacentral:rRNA from 1 species